AUCUACCUAGUAGUACGGAAUAGCCAUUAGAAAUGGUGGGUAAUACUGUAUAAUCCCCGAGGGGGAAAGAUUUAUCGCUAUUAGAUGAGCCUACGUUAGAUUAGCUAGUUGGUGAGGUAAUGGCUUACCAAGGCUAUGAUCUAUAGCUGGUCUGAGAGGACGAUCAGCCGCACUGGAACUGAGAUACGGACCAGACUCCUACGGGAGGCAGCAGUGGGGAAUAUUGGACAAUGGGCGAAAGCCUGAUCCAGCUAUGCCGC
rnacentral:rRNA from 1 species